rnacentral:tRNA from 1 species
AGCGUAGCGACGUAUGUUUGCGCGCGGCCAUGACAAGGCCCAGCCGUCGGCGGUUCGAUCCCGUCCCUGGCCA